rnacentral:tRNA from 1 species
GAAAGUGUAGCUCAGUGAUAAGAGUGUGUGCUUAGCAUGCACAAGGUCCUGGGUUCAACUCCCAGUACUGCCA